rnacentral:rRNA from 1 species
GACGAACGCUGGCGGCGUGCCUAAUACAUGCAAGUUGAGCGCUGAAGGUUGGUACUUGUACCAACUGGAUGAGCAGCGAACGGGUGAGUAACGCGUGGGGAAUCUGCCUUUGAGCGGGGGACAACAUUUGGAAACGAAUGCUAAUACCGCAUAAAAACUUUAAACACAAGUUUUAAGUUUGAAAGAUGCAAUUGCUUCACUCAAAGAUGAUCCCGCGUUGUAUUAGCUAGUUGGUGAGGUAAAGGCUCACCAAGGCGAUGAUACAUAGCCGACCUGAGAGGGUGAUCGGCCACAUUGGGACUGAGACACGGCCCAAACUCCUACGGGAGGCAGCAGUAGGGAAUCUUCGGCAAUAGACGAAAGUCUGACCGAGCAACGCCGCGUGAGUGAAGAAGGUUUUCGGAUCGUAAAACUCUGUUGGUAGAGAAGAACGUUGGUGAGAGUGGAAAGCUCAUCAAGUGACGGUAACUACCCAGAAAGGGACGGCUAACUACGUG